rnacentral:lncRNA from 1 species
CCCUUCAGUGCGACAGCCUCAGAGCCCGUGGAGAGGCAGAGCGCAGGCAGCUGGAUAAAUUCGCAGACGUGGAAUUCCUGGAUCAAAUGGAGGAGGAUGAAGAUGGAGAGUCAGUAGGAACGGGGAAGAGGGCUUCUUGCCAUGGAACAUUUGCCACCUAGUGACCAUUCUGAGUAAGUACAGUAUUUGUGGUGAUACUUGUUCUCGUCUUCUCAGCCUGGCAGCCUGCCCUUGACUCCUGAGUUCUGUGAGCCCUUCAAAACUGCAAGUCAUUCUCAAAAGAAAUUUGGGUUUACCUAGUGUGCACCUUUGAGAGUUUGGGAACAGUAUGCAAAUUCAAGUUACCCUCAUGUUUUCUCGCUAUCUGGUUUUUCUGCCUAUCGUUCCCUCUGCGCAUGAGUAGUCAUACAAAACAAUUUUUGCCCUUGUUAUUUGUCCUGUGAAUGUUGGCAUUUGCUUCUUAUACAGUAGAAAUUAGCGUUGUGUAUUUGUCAGUGAUAUAAAACUUUCAAUAACUGUAAGUCUGUAUAAGUUGGGUAAGAAUAUCAUCCAAGCAAAGAAAAGAACCAAGAAGGUAGAUGAUAGAAAUGCAAGAGAAGAGGAGAGGACAAGAAAGGUGGUGUCUCUAGCAAACAGAAUGAGGGGUCCUGAAAUGCUUGCUAAUGGGGAAACCAAGACCUCUGCGGGGCAUUUAUUUUGGUAUUAAUGAGUCAGUCAAGAAAAAUAAGAAAGCUAUUAGGGUCAGUGUGCCAAGGGGCACACUAGAAUCAUUGAGAAAAAUCAUACAUAACUCCAAAUGCCAAAAUAGAGAAAAUGAAAAGAGAUUUGUGUUUGUGGCUUCUAAAACAGAGAAGGCUGAAUGGGCCUCUUUGCCUCAUCUGCCAGCGAGCCUAGCAAAAAAUGCAAAUUUAAAUUUUGAUCGGGAUGGAAAAUUGUAACAUUCAUCGUGAGUAACGCGUGGUUGGACAGGUUUAAGAAACACCAGGGUGUGUAUGAAAAGAAGUGGCUGGCAGAGGAAGCCGACCGUGAAGCUGCCGCGGACUGUCCUGGAUACCCGAAGAAACUGAUGGAGAAAAAUCGCUAUUUGCCUGAACAGGUCUUCAGUGCUGAUGAAACAGUCCUGUUCUAGAAGCGCAUGGCUACUUGCACAUUUAUUGCGAAGGAUGAGAAAAAGACCUGAGGCUUCGAGCCUGGAAAAGAUAAGCUCAAAGUUCUGCUUUGUUCCAGUGCUUCUGGUGACUUUCUGAUUAAACCGCUGUUGCUUCACAGAUUCCACAUUUCUUGCCCUCUUAAAAGAAAUUGCCAGAAACACUUUUCUGUGUACAUGAAGGGAAACCAUAAAAUAUGGAUCACUGAGAAAUUCCUGUUGGACUGGCUUUUGAAGUGUUUUGUUCCUGAGGUUAAACAGUAUUUAAACCCAAAACAUCUUGAAUUCGAGGUGUAACUGAUUCUGGACACGGCUCCCACUGACAAAAGCAUGAUCCUUGUAUUAAAGGCAGCUGUAUUCCCCCCAGUACAUCUCCACUCUUUCCACCCUUGCACCUGGGAGUGUAUUUGAUUGACUACCUGGCAAAUCUUACGAGAGAGACACCAGAAAUUACCGUGGAAAUAGCUUGGUAAAAUUUCUCCAUUUGUAACACUUUGAUACUAGUAGGAGAAUCAGUGAGAGAGAGAAAAUGAUCAACCCUUAACGGAGACUGGCAGCAACUUUGGAAUGAAGUUGUAAGUGAUUCUGAAGCUUUCCUUCCAGUGCCUGAAGAAAUUGAAAAUUUGGUAGCAUCUGCAGAACAUACGGGUGGUGACGGAUUCGAAGACAGUGAAUUAAGUGACGUUGCUGAACUGUUAGAUUCUCACCCUCAGAAGAUGGUUGAGAAAUAUUUCAGAGAUGGGAUCCCAUCAAAAGUUGAUGAAAGAUGUCAGCGUAGAUUACCUUCUAGAACUCAAAGAAUGUGGAAGCACCCACUCCGCAAAUCAAGUUGUCAUGGUGAUUCACAGGAAAGAGAUCCUUCGCUGGAAUAUUUAUUGACCUACAGGCAAGGCUCAAAUGAUUACUCACAACCUUAUAAAGCAAUAAUAAGAAACCUCCAAACAAAGGCCAGUAAGUGUUUUCUCUGCUUGCCUCAACAGGGAGAAGAGGCUGUACCACCGGGCUGUGUCACUCAAGCCCUUGCCCAAAAAAGCAGGCACAAGGGCCUCACACUGAUGCUUGAACCUGGGGAUUCAGACUCUGGCAGCUCUGAUGAUGAGUGAUGAUCCGUGUGCCCAAGAAUGAGAGUGAAGCAGGACACUGAGUUUACUCAGAUCCAGACAAAACCCUGUCACUGCUGUGAUGAUCAGCAUUUUCACUGAUGCAUGAUGUUCCUCACUUUGAGAUCAGAGAGAAAUAGAAAUUAAUUGCCCUGUCAUCACUAUGACUAAUGUAAAAUUAGUAAAAUGCCACCCGAAG